rnacentral:rRNA from 1 species
ACUCAAAUGAAUUGACGGGGGCUCACACAAGCGGUGGAGCAUGUGGCUUAAUUCGAGGCUACGCGCAGAACCUUAUCCCGGGCUUGACAUGCACGGAUUAGCCGGCGGAAACGUCGGUAAGGCCGAAAGGUACAACGUGCACAGGUGCUGCAUGGCUGUCGUCAGCUCGUGCCGUGAGGUGUUGGGUUAAGUCCCCUAACGAGCGAAACCCCUGUCCCUAGUUGCCAGCACGUCACGGUGGGAACUCUAGGGAGACCGCCGGCGUUAAGCCGGAGGAAGGCGGGGAUGACGUCAAGUCCUCAUGGCCCUUAUGCCCGGGGCUGCACACGUGCUACAAUGGGCCGGACAGAGCGCCGCCAGGCCGCAAGGCCGAGCUAAUCGCAAAAACCGGCCCCCAGUUCGGAUCGCGGGCUGCAACCCGCCCGCGUGAAGCCGGAAUCGCUAGUAAUCGCGGAUCAGCAUCGCCGCGGUGAAUGGGUUCCUGAGCCUUGUACACACCGCCCGU